rnacentral:tRNA from 1 species
AGGCAUUUAGUUUAAAAAAACAUUUGAUUUCGGCUCAAAAAAUUCUGGUUAAACCCCAUAACUGCCUA